AUUGAACGCUGGCGGCAGGCCUAACACAUGCAAGUCGAGCGGAUGAGUGGAGCUUGCUCCAUGAUUCAGCGGCGGACGGGUGAGUAAUGCCUAGGAAUCUGCCUGGUAGUGGGGGAUAACGUUUCGAAAGGAACGCUAAUACCGCAUACGUCCUACGAGAGAAAGUGGGGGAUCUUCGGACCUCACGCUAUCAGAUGAGCCUAGGUCGGAUUAGCUAGUUGGUGGGGUAAUGGCCCACCAAGGCGACGAUCCGUAACUGGUCUGAGAGGAUGAUCAGUCACACUGGAACUGAGACACGGUCCAGACUCCUACGGGAGGCAGCAGUGGGGAAUAUUGGACAAUGGGCGAAAGCCUGAUCCAGCCAUGCCGCGUGUGUGAAGAAGGUCUUCGGAUUGUAAAGCACUUUAAGUUGGGAGGAAGGGCAGUAAGUUAAUACCUUGCUGUUUUGACGUUACCAACAGAAUAAGCACCGGCUAACUUCGUGCCAGCCGCCGCGGUAAUAC
rnacentral:rRNA from 1 species